rnacentral:rRNA from 1 species
CCCUUAGAUGUCCUGGGCCGCACGCGCGCUACACUGAUGCAUGAAACGAGUUUAUAACCUUGGCCUGAAAGGUCUGGGUAAUCUUUUGAACGUGCAUCGUGAUAGGGAUAGAUUAUUGCAAUUGUUAAUCUUGAACGAGGAAUUCCUAGUAAACGCGAGUCAUCAGCUCGCAUUGAUUACGUCCCUGCCCUUUGUACACACCGCCCGUCGCACCUACCGAUUGAAUGGUUCGGUGAAGAUCUCGGACUUCGAUAUUUAUUCUUUAUUGAGUUUAUAUUGUGGGAAGUUAUCUAAACCUCAUCAUUUAGAGGAAGGUGAAGUCGUAACA